rnacentral:snRNA from 1 species
GUGCCCACUUUGGCAGCACACAUACUAAAACUGGAAUGAUACAGAGAAGAUUGCCAUGGCCCCUGCACAAGGAUGACAUGCAAAUUAGUGAAGUGUUCCAUGUUUUU